AUUGAACGCUGGCGGCAUGCUUUACACAUGCAAGUCGAACGGUAACAGCACUUCGGUGGCUGACGAGUGGCGAACGGGUGCGUAAUACAUCGGAACGUGCCUAGUAGUGGGGGAUAACUACUCGAAAGAGUAGCUAAUACCGCAUGAGAUCUAAGGAUGAAAGCAGGGGACCUUCGGGCCUUGCGCUACUAGAGCGGCUGAUGGCAGAUUAGGUAGUUGGUGGGAUAAAAGCUUACCAAGCCGACGAUCUGUAGCUGGUCUGAGAGGACGACCAGCCACACUGGGACUGAGACACGGCCCAGACUCCUACGGGAGGCAGCAGUGGGGAAUUUUGGACAAUGGGCGCGAGCCUGAUCCAGCAAUGCCGCGUGCAGGAUGAAGGCCUUCGGGUUGUAAACUGCUUUUGUACGGAACGAAAAGCCCUCUACUAAUACAGGAGGGUCAUGACGGUACCGGAAGAAUAAGCACCGGCUAACUACGUG
rnacentral:rRNA from 1 species